rnacentral:antisense_RNA from 16 species
GCCUUCGAGCAUGCAGGAUUCAGGGCAGGUUUCAAACUCUACCGAAUCCUGUAGAACAUUCUUACUUUCCAGAAAUUCAUAAUCCUUUAAAAGUUUUAUGUGUAAACUCUCAAACAAUCAAGCAUAAGAGAGGAAUACAAAUCUGAAAUAAGUUAACAAAAAAAUAGUUUGAGAAGUACACAGAGACUA